GCAGAGAAGCGAGCUGGCGGGUUCUGGCGCCUCCCCUUCCGGCUGACCCGCCAGCUCCUGCCAUCUUCCCUUCCGCUGCUGAAGCGGCGGGAGCUCGAGAGAAGUCCAAAGAGUUAUCACCCUGUUUUUGGAGUCCAAUUCUGAGGUCCAGAAACACUGCACCCUCAGAGCUACUCAUGGUUUCAGGUGAGGAGAAAAGUACUGUGAUAUAAAAAGAGGGGUGGGUGGGCACAUGCAGACU
rnacentral:lncRNA from 1 species